GGUAGUGCUGAUGCGGUAUAUGGAAACACCUGUUCCCAUUCCGAAUACAGAAGUUAAGCAUAUACUGGUCGAUGAUACUGGUUCUAUCAGGGCUGGGAAAGUAGGUUAGUGCUACCA
rnacentral:rRNA from 1 species